rnacentral:rRNA from 1 species
GACGGGGACCCGCACAAGUAGCGGAGCAUGUGGUUUAAUUCGAAGCAACGCGAAGAACCUUACCUAAGCUUGACAUCCCAAUGACAUCUCCUUAAUCGGAGAGUUCUCUUCGGGGACAUUGGUGACAGGUGGUGCAUGGUUGUCGUCAGCUCGUGUCGUGAGAUGUUGGGUUAAGUCCCGCAACGAGCGCAACCCUUGUCUUUAGUUGCCAUC